UUGAACCAAGACAUCUCCAGCACUAGAAGAUUCAGAAAUCCAAUAAAUUUCUGAAUCUUCUAGUGCUGGAGAUGUCUUGGUUCAA